rfam:Eutrema salsugineum unplaced genomic scaffold scaffold_1, whole genome shotgun sequence.
AAUCCAUGGACAUUGAAUGGUGUAGCUCUUGAAUCUUUCCCAUGACUCACGGAAAUUCUCAUGGUUUUUCUGUGUAAAACUAAAGAUUUCAUUCCUUAGCCU